GCCAUAUCGUUUCAAAGUAUAAUUUUUUUCCUAGAGCAAUAGCAAAUUUUAAUGAUGGCAUUCAAAGGAAGUUUUAUCAGAAUAGUAGUUUUGUCAUUUAUUGUUUUAGCAAUGACUACAGUCAUAGCCGGAAGACCCGGAAAACCUGAAGGUUGAGCCAUAAUCUGAGAAAUGACAUAUAAUGCUGAUCCUUAAUAUAUUAUCACUCACUUAUUCAUACUUUACAUACUGGUAUUGAUUGUUUAGAGUUAUAAUUAAAUUAUAGUAUUU